rnacentral:rRNA from 1 species
CUACCACGCGAGUGGAUGCCAAUCCCCAAAACCUCUCUCAGUUCGGACUGGAGUCUGCAACCCGACUCCACGAAGCUGGAUUCGCUAGUAAUCGCGAAUCAGAAUGUCGCGGUGAAUACGUUCCCGGGUCUUGUACACACCGCCCGUCACACCAUGGGAGUCGGGAAUGCCCGAAGUCAGUGACCCAACCGCAAGGAGGGAGCUGCCGAAGGCAGGCUCGAUAACUGGGGUGAAGUCGUAACAAGGUACC